rnacentral:rRNA from 1 species
AUUGAACGCUGGCGGCAGGCUUAACACAUGCAAGUCGAGCGGGGUGAUGGUGCUUGCACUAUCACUUAGCGGCGGACGGGUGAGUAAUGCUUAGGAAUCUGCCUAUUAGUGGGGGACAACAUCUCGAAAGGGAUGCUAAUACCGCAUACGUCCUACAGGAGAAAGCAGGGGAUCACUUGUGACCUUGCGCUAAUAGAUGAGCCUAAGUCGGAUUAGCUAGUUGGUGGGGUAAAGGCCUACCAAGGCGACGAUCUGUAGCGGGUCUGAGAGGAUGAUCCGCCACACUGGGACGGAGACACGGCCCAGACUCCUACGGGAGGCAGCAGUGGGGAAUAUUGGACAAUGGGGGGAACCCUGAUCCAGCCAUGCCGCGUGUGUGAAGAAGGCCUUAUGGUUGUAAAGCACUUUAAGCGAGGAGGAGGCUCUUUUGGUUAAUACCCAAGAUGAGUGGACGUUACUCGCAGAAUAAGCACCGGCUAACUCUGUGCCAGCCGCCGCGGUAA